CGCUGGCGGCAUGCCUAACACAUGCAAGUCGAACGAGACUUCGGUCUAGUGGCGGACGGGUGAGUAACGCGUAGGAACCUGCCAAGCAGUGGGGAAUAACAGCUGGAAACGGCUGCUAAUACCGCAUACGCCCUUCGGGGGAAAGAUUUAUCGCUGUUUGAGGGUCCUGCGUUCGAUUAGCUAGUUGGUGAGGUAACGGCCCACCAAGGCGACGAUCGAUAGCUGGUCUGAGAGGAUGAUCAGCCACACUGGGACUGAGACACGGCCCAGACUCCUACGGGAGGCAGCAGUGGGGAAUUUUGGACAAUGGGCGCAAGCCUGAUCCAGCCAUGCCGCGUGCGUGAAGAAGGCCUUAGGGUUGUAAAGCGCUUUCACCUGUGAUGAUGAUGACAGUAGCAGGAGGAGAAGCCCCGGCUAACUCCGUG
rnacentral:rRNA from 1 species